rnacentral:rRNA from 1 species
AUUGAACGCUGGCGGCAGGCCUAACACAUGCAAGUCGAACGAGUGGCGGACGGGUGAGUAAUGUCUGGGAAACUUCCUGAUGGAGGGGGAUAACUACUGGAAACGGUAGCUAAUACCGCAUACCAUCGGAUGUACCCAGAUGGGAUUAGCUAGUAGGUGGGGUAAAGGCUCACCUAGGCGACGCGCCCUUGCUGGUCUGAGAGGAUGACCAGCCACACUGGAACUGAGACAAGGUCCAGACUCCGACGGGAGGCAGCAGUGGGUAAUAUUGCACAAUGGGCGAAAGCCUGACGAAGCCAGGCCGCGUGUAUGAAGAAGGCCGUCGGGUUGUAAAGGUCUUUCAGCGGGGAGGCGUUACCCGCAGAAGAAGCACCGGCUAACUCCGUGCCAGCAGCCGCGGUAAUUC